rnacentral:ncRNA from 1 species
UUAACUGGGGCAGCGACUGGUGUCCAAAGGGAAACUCAUCGAGAACAGAAAUCUCAAGUAGAAUAAAAAGGUAAAUGUUCCCUUGGUUGUGAUAAUCAGCGUGAAUACAAACCAUGAAAGUGUAGCCUAUCGAUCCUUUAUCCAGGAAUUUCAGGCAUCGCUUUAACCUGAAAACCUGGAGCUUGAUAGCUAGGGUAGAAAGUAACACCAACAUGAGAGUAGAUACUCGAUGGGGAAAG